AUGCUCUCUUUGGCAGCAAAAACAUUAUAACUGAAAUGACAAAGAGCAGAUUAGCAUGGUCCUGUGCAAAGAAGACAUGCAACUUCGUGGCACAUUCAUAAUUAAA
ensembl:snRNA U6 U6 spliceosomal RNA